GGACGAUUUUCGCUCCUUUGUCAAAGAUCAAUUGACCAUAGGGUGGACGUUUUGUUCCUUGUUUUAUGAUUCCUCCCUGGAUUUUCAGAAACUGUCAUGGCUGUGUAUUGCCUGUUUUCCUGACCUGUUCAGCUGAAUAAAGAGAGGACAUAACCACUGGAACUGACACAUCCUAAAACAAAAUUUCUUCUGGGGACUCCUGAGGGAUGCUUGAGUAACACACGUUCCCUCAAAUUAUGAAACUUAGUAUCUGCUGACAACAUU